rnacentral:lncRNA from 1 species
UACGUCAAGUGGUUGGAUGUGUUUAGCUGCAGAAUCAACACAUGAGACACAGUGACCUAAUCUCCACUACCACGUGCCAGUUCACAUGAAAAAUCCAAGGGCACGCUGAUACAGACAGCCCAGCACAGAUGGGACUGAUCCCCACAGUCAACAGUGAAAGUCGGCACGAGCACCAGAUAACAGGCCUCAAAAGUGUCCCCAGCUUUUUCAAUCCUUUCCCUGGAGUUUGAUUUCCACUAUCUCUAACCUCACUUUAAUUC